UACAGAGGAGCCAAGCGUUGUCCGGAUUGACUGGGCGUAAAGCGCACGCAGGCGGAUGCGCUCGUGGGGUGUGAAAUCUGGCCGCUUAACGGCCAGGCGCCAUCCCAUACGGCGCGUCUGGAGUGAUGCAGAGGUCGAUGGAAUUGCCGGUGUAGUGGUGAAAUGCGUAGAGAUCGGCAGGAACACCCAGGGGGAAACCAGUCGACUGGGCAUCUACUGACGCUGAGGUGCGAGAGCGUGGGGAGCGAACCGG
rnacentral:rRNA from 1 species